rnacentral:rRNA from 1 species
UGCCAGACUCCUACGGGAGGCAGCAGUGGGGAAUAUUGCACAAUGGGCGAAAGCCUGAUGCAGCGACGCCGCGUGAGUGAAGAAGUAUUUCGGUAUGUAAAGCUCUAUCAGCAGGGAAGAAAAUGACGGUACCUGACUAAGAAGCCCCGGCUAACUACGUGCCAGCAGCCGCGGUAAUACGUAGGGGGCAAGCGUUAUCCGGAUUUACUGGGUGUAAAGGGAGCGUAGACGGCAAUACAAGUCGGAAGUGAAAUACCCGGGCUCAACCUGGGAACUGCUUUGGAAACUGUAUGGCUGGAGUGCUGGAGAGGUAAGCGGAAUUCCUAGUGUAGCGGUGAAAUGCGUAGAUAUUAGGAGGAACACCAGUGGCGAAGGCGGCUUACUGGACUGUAACUGACACUGAGGCUCGAAAGCGUGGGGAGCAAACAGGAUUAGAUACCCCAGUA